AGAGAGUAGAACAGGAUGAGACAGGGAGGAACAGAGAGAGAGAGUAGAACAGGAUGAGACAGUGAGGAACAGAGAGAGUAGAACAGGAUGAGACAGGGAGGAACAGAGAGAGAGUAGACCAGGAUGAGAAAGGGAGGAACAGAGAGAGUAGAACAGGAUGAGACAGGGAGGAACAGAGAGAGUAGAACAGGAUGAGACAGGGAGGAACAGAGAGAGAGUAGAACAGGAUGAGACAGGGAGGAACAGAGAGAGUAGGACAGGAUGAGACAGGGAGGAACAGAGAGAGAGUAGAACAGGAUGAGACAGGGAGAAACAGAGAGAGAGUAGAACAGGACGAGACAGGGAGGAACAGAGAGAGAGUAGACCAGGAUGAGACAGGGAGGAACAGAGAGAGAGUAGACCAGGAUGAGAAAGGGAGGAACAGAGAGAGUAGAACAGGAUGAGACAGGGAGGAACAGAGAGAGAGUAGACCAGGAUGAGACAGGGAGGAACAGAGAGAGAGUAGACCAGGAUGAGAAAGGGAGGAACAGAGAGAGUAGAACAGGAUGAGACAGGGAGGAACAGAGAGAGAGUAGAACAGGAUGAGACAGGGAGGAACAGAGAGAGUAGGACAGGAUGAGACAGGGAGGAACAGAGAGAGUAGAACAGGAUGAGACAGGGAGGAACAGAGAGAGUAGGACAGGAUGAGACAGGGAGGAACAGAGAGAGUAGAACAGGAUGAGACAGGGAGGAACAGAGAGAGUAGAAUAGGAUGAGACAGGGAGGAACAUAGAGAGAGUAGAACAGGAUGAGAUAGGGAGGAACAGAGAGAGAGAGAGAGAGUAGAACAGGAUGAGACAGGGAGGAACAGAGAGAGUAGAACAGGAUGAGACAGGGAGGAACAGAGAGAGUAGAACAGGAUGAGACAGGGAGGAACUGAGAGAGAGAGUAGAACAGGAUGAGACAGGGAGGAACAGAGAGAGUAGAACAGGAUGAGACAGGGAGGAACGGAGAGAGUAGAACAGGAUGCGACAGGGAGGAACAGAGAGAGAGUAGAACAGGAUGAGACAGGGAGGAACAGAGAGAGUAGAACAGGAUGAGACAGGGAGGAACAGAGAGAGAGAGUAGAACAGGAUGAGACAGGGAGGAACAGAGAGAGUAGAACAGGAUGAGACAGGGAGGAACAGAGAGAGUAGAACAGGAUGAGACAGGGAGGAACAGAGAGAGUAGAACAGGAUGAGACAGGGAGGAACAGAGAGAGAGUAGAACAGGAUGAGACAGGGAGGAACAGAGAGAGUAGAACAGGAUGAGACAGGGAGGAACGGAGAGAGUAGAACAGGAUGAGACAGGGAGGAACAGAGAGAGUAGAACAGGAUGAGACAGGGAGGAACAGAGAGAGAGAGUAGAACAGGAUUAGACAGGGAGGAACAGAGAGAGUAGAACAGGAUGAGACAGGGAGGAACAGAGAGAGAGAGUAGAACAGGAUGAGACAGGGAGGAACAGAGAGAGUAGAACAGGAUGAGACAGGGAGGAACAGAGAGAGAGUAGAACAGGAUGAGACAGGAAGGAACAGAGAGAGAGUAGAACAGGAUGAGACAGGAAGGAACAGAGAGAGAGUAGAACUGGAUGAGACAGGAAGGAACAGAGAGAGAGUAGAACAGGAUGAGACAGGGAGGAACAGAGAGAGUAGAACAGGAUGAGACAGGGAGGAACAGAGAGAGAGUAGAACAGGAUGAGACAGGGAGGAACAGAGAGAGUAGAACAGGAUUAGACAGGGAGGAACAGAGAGAGUAGAACAGGAUGGACAGGGAGGAACAGAGAGAGUAGAACAGGAUGAGACAGGGAGGAACAGAGAGAGUAGAACAGGAUGAGACAGGGAGGAACAGAGAGAGUAGAACAGGAUUAGACAGGGAGGAACAGAGAGAGAGUAGAACAGGAUGAGA
rnacentral:lncRNA from 1 species